rnacentral:lncRNA from 1 species
GCUCUGCAGAGUGCAGGGAUGGAUUAGAAAUUUUCCAUCUCUCUUAUUUUCCUUUUUCAUGCACAUAAAAAGGGAAUUUCACCCAUUUCCUCAGGUUCUGGAUGUGUUUGUGGAGUUUCAGUGAGUUCCCCACCCUUCCCCGUGGUGAUGCUGCCCGAGCCUCUCUCCAAGCAGCUCAUGAGCUUUGGGAGAGCUCGGCUGCCUUUGUACCAGCCUGGAUUCCUUCCCACUGACAGCACCAAGUUCCUUGGAGCCUGAGGUUUCUUUUUUAAAAUAAAGUUUAAAUUAGAUCAAAAACCACCAGGCCUGUGAAGAUGGUCCCGGGUGGUUUGUGCACAGCAGAGCUGAGGACUUUGGAGUUGUCAUGCACAGACAUCAGAACAAAUGCAUUAACUCUGAGAAGGGGCAGCAGAAGGAAAGCCUGGAGCUGGAACAUCCUUUGAGCAACAGCAAAGGAAGAGAAAGCAAAACCACCCCUCUAAGAUGGCUGCAAACAGAAGGUCUCUGCAGCCCCUCCUUAAACACUGAAGAUAUUUUCAUUUAAAAUAUCUACUUAAAGGCAGGUUUAAUCUCAAAACAGCAUUUUCCACUUUGAAAAAAAAAAAUCACAUGCACACAAAAAACCCCCACCUUCAAAACUGUCUUCAGUUAUUUCUCCUUCAAUUUUUUUUUCCAAUUAAAUUAAUUUAAACAGAGUGAAAAAUGCUUUAUGCCCUGAGAGCCUGAAACCUCUGGUGUCAGCUGAAACGGGCACUUGUGCUCUCAGCUUCAGCCCUCGCUGCAGGCACCUCUGCUUUGAAGCCUUUGAAGUGUUUGUGGCACAGGAAGAGGCUCUCCUCAGAGAACACCAGUUAUUUUACAGAUAUUUAAUGUGUGAAGUGUGUGUGCCUGUGUUUGGGUUCGGAUAACGGGGCUUUCACAAGGCAGGUGGGAAAACAGGGACGGCAUCUUGACUUGCAGAGCAAAACUGAGGGAAAAACCACUUUGGAGCAUCUCUUAAGCUGCUUCCAGCCUUCACCAGCACCACC